rnacentral:lncRNA from 1 species
GAAGCUUCGUCCCAGAGAAGCACCCACCUGUAUGAGGUGUCAGUUGGCCCCUAUUGGAAGGUGUCUCUCAGUCAGGCUACACGGGGAUCAGGGACCCACUUGAGGAGGCAGUCUGUCCGUUCUCAGAGCUCAAACACUGUGCUGGGAGAACCACUGCUCUCUUCAGAGCUGACAGACAGGGACAUUUAAGUCUGCAGAAGUUUCUGCCACCUUUUGUUCAGCUAUGCCCUGCCUCCAGAGGUGGAGUCUACAGAGGUAGCCAGCCUUGGUGAGCUGCAGUGGGCUCCACUCAGUUCGAACUUUCCCAGCUGCUUUGUUUACCUACUCAAGCCUCAGCAAUGGUGGACGCCCCUCCCCCUGCCAGGCUGCUGCCUUGCAGGUUGAUCUCAGUCUGCUGCACUAGCAGUGAGUAAGGCUCCAUGGGCAUGGGACCCACUGAGCCAGGCACGGGAUAUAAUCUCCUGGUGUGCCAUUUGCUAAGACCAUCAGAAAAGCACAGUAUUCAGGCGGGAGUGUCCCAUUUUUCCAGGUACAGACAGUCACAGCUUCCCUUGGCUAAGAAAGGGAAAUCCCCUGACCCCCUGUGCUUCCCGGGUGAGGCAAUGCCCCACACUGCUUCAACUUGGGUGAAGCAUCCCAGAUCGACUUCAGACUGCUGUGCUGACAAUGAGAAUUUUUUUUAUUAUUUUUUAUUUUUAUUAUACUUUAAGUUCUACAGUAUUUCAAGCCAAAGGAUCUUAGCUUGCUGGGCUCCAUGAGGGUGGGAUCUGCUGAGCUAGACCACUUGGCUCCUUGGCUUCAGCCCCCUUUCCCAGGGAGUGAACAGUUCUGUCUCACUGGCAUUCCAGGCACCACUGGCGAAUGAAAAAAAAAAACUCCUGCAACUAGCUCGGUGUCUGCCUAAACGGCAGCCCAGUUUUGUGCUUGAAACCCGGGGCCCUGGUGGUGUAGGCACCUGAGGGAAUCUCCUGGUCUGCAGGUUGUGAAGACCGUGGGAAAAAUGUAGUAUCUAGGCCAGAAUGCACCAUUCUUCACAGCACAAUCCUUCACGGCUUCCCCUGGCUAGGGGAGGGAGUUCCCUGACCCCUUGCACUUCCUGGGUGAGGCUACCUCCCCACCUUGCUUUGGGUCACCUUCCAUAGGCUGCACCCACUGUCUAACCAGUCCCAAUGAGAUGAGGCAGGUACCUCAGUUGGAAAUGCAGAAAUCACCCACCUUCUGCAUUGAUCUUGCUGGGAGCUGCAGACUGGAGCUGUUCCUAUUCAGCCAUCAUACCAGCAACUCCUAGACAUUUCUUUAUGUCCUUGAAACAUUUUCAGGGAGAUGGCAAUGCCUGUCUGAAGCAUUAGUGCUACAGAUGUGGGCUUGGAAUGAACCUGGGAGUGUCUGGACUCCCGGAAGGAUUGAAGUCUAUCAACUAUCUUUGAGAACCAGAGUGAAAACAAAGAAGCAAGGUCUAUUGUGUAUAAUCUGCUAUCACUGUGUUGUCAUUUCCUGAGCCACGUUCUUAUCAGCAGUGGCUCUGUUGCCAAAUUUCAAUUCAAAAGAGCGUUACAAGGUGAAAAAAAAAUCCAAAUUUUUAGUAGUAUUUCCUAGGUAGUAAACACAGGAUUUCCUGCAUCCGAAAUGACUUCAACAAAUUGCCUGUUCCUUCAAACGUGAUCUGUUGACAAAUUUGGACUCUGUUCCUUUAGGUACAGAUAAGCUUACUGAUGGAAAACUCCUCCAGCUGAGCAAGGGAUUUUUGCCAGCUAUCCUGCUCUAACAGGCCUGGGAGCCACAGGAAUGAGUUUUCAUUUCAAAUGGAUUUCUAUUUGGCGUUAAUAUUUUGUGUGUUUACAUCUUGUCUCCCCAUGUAGAAUAUACAAUCCAUAAGUGUUGGAAUCACUCUUCUCUUCUGAGAGCUCAGGCAGGCAGCAUGGUGAUGAAUAAAAAGGAAGGGAAAGACAGACUUUCCAACUCACAAUCUCCACAGGAAGGAUGCUCUGUUGACAAAGGGGCAGGAAUCUCCCCCUCUCAGAUAUAAUUCUGGUAACACCAGGAUAAUUUGUAAAUCUGCAUUAGAAACAGCUCUUUUCCCUAUUUCCCAUUCUUAAUAAAGUGCUUGUGAUGAACUGAGUGAAAUUCUCUCCCCAGACUUCAGUCACUCUUUGUUUUAAAAUCCUCCGUUAGUGCGUUGCUUGCGGAAGCAUGUGGUUUCACAAUUCCCAGUACACAUUUUUGCCCUGAAACUCAUUUUUACUUUAGUCAUCACAAUGAUGUACCAGGGAGUCAUAGCAACCACUCCAGUUUGCCAAAGGACAGAGAAUAGACAGGAUAUAAUCAAAAUUCUACAGAAAUAUACUAUUCAUGCCAUUAUAUGGAAGUCACCAAGGAGGAAACCUUUCCAGAAAAAGCUAGGGUAAAUCUUCAGAGUGAGCCUUGUAAUGCAUCUUCUAUAAUGGUUCUCCAGUUGCUGUCGAAUACAGCAAUGUCCAGGUAUGUAAUGUGUCCAGUUACAUACCUGGACACAUCCAUGUGAGACACUUUUGGGCUCACAGAGCACAAAUCUGUAGCUUCAUUGAAUUUUCACUGUUCAUUUUGUUAGUCUCCUGGGCUUGGUUGUUGAGAACCCAAGAAUAUAUAUCUGUUCCCAUGCCUCCAAGCUUCAGUGAAUUAAUGAAAAUGAGCUCAUUAAAAUAUGACCAUAUAAAUUUCCAUGAUUAACAUUUGAGAGGGAAUUCCUUUACAGAAAAAUAGUACUAACUGCCACUUAUUAAGGCCAGGCACUGAAACAAGCAUUUCCCACAGAACAACCCAAUAAAACCCCCAACGAAGUAUUUUUGGUCAUAUUUUACAGAUGAGGAAACAGAAGCUCAGGAAAAUUAAGAUAUUUAAUCGAGGUCAUACAUAAUUUAAUUGUGAUCUAACUGGAACUCUGGGCUCUUAACAAAUACUGAAUAAAAAAGAACCACAAAAGAAA